CUCCCUCCUUUGCUCCACCUUCCGUGCCCCAUCUCCUCCUCAUCCUCUGAAAUCGCCUGCGCAGCCGUCGGACUCCUCCGCCGCUUGCCCACGGAUCGUCGCUUUCUUCUGCCGUGGCCGGGCCGAGGACUACCUGAGGCUCCUAUGACGAGGAGCAGGAGAAAGACGGAGUCGUCGCGAAUCCCGACACGUUUCUCCUUCGUUGGGGCUAUAAAUGGGGUUCGCUUCGGCCGAUCAUCAUCGGAGUCGCUGGUUUCCCCUCGAAGAUACGAUUGAGAUCCCGUUCCUAGUCCCUCGCCGUCGCACGCUUCCAUGUGUACAUCGGAGUCCGCCACCGCUCGCACGAGGAUCGUCGCUUUCUUCUUCUGCGGCUCCCAUGACGAGGUGGAGAACGGAGCCGUCCUCCUAAUCUUUCAGUCUACGUGGAGUGUGAUCUGUACUUCACUCAGCCAUCGAAGGCUUUCAUGUGGACGAUGCAUUCUGCGACGUGGAGCCGGAGGAUGAGGAAGCCGUGAAGCCUUCGCGAGGAUCGAGAAGUUUGAGGGAAAACGAGCGUAGAGACACAGGUAAAGAUCGAUAUUCAGAGGAAUGAUGAUCUUUCGCACAAAAGACACACGAAGACAAAGACAAACAAGCUGAGAAGAAUACGUAGCACACAAAGGUCGGGAUGGUUGAGUUUGAACUACGAUUCAAUGUUAGCAACUAUACUUGAUGGUGCUCAAGGCAAGCGAGGUGCUUGGUAAAGGAUGAGAUAAUGUAAGGUGGAAUGAGUUAUUUAGCGACCGAAAGAGUUGUGCAAAGCUCACAGAGGAAUUGCUAACUCGAAGAAUUCGGUACUCAUGCAAAGGCUUGUAUACAAACGAUGGAGUGUUCGUGGCCAUCUCAAGGCGACCGAAACUCAACGCUAUGAAGCAUUGAAACUUUCUCUUCAACAUGAGAAGGAUACGUCCAUAGGAGGCUGAAGUAUAUAACGAGUUCAAUAUGUUGUUAGGCCUUGAAGGGUACAGCGAGGGCUAUAUUGGCGUGGUAUUACAAUCUAGCAAGUGCAUUUGUAGGAGGCAGAAUAAUGCAUAGUUUGUUCAAUAAGGCGGAGUAGUCCAAGGGGAUGGUGGUCUCUAAAAUUUUCAGAUAGAAGGAAGCGAAGAGAGAAGUUGCUCCAACGAGAUGGAUAUCCAAGAGAGAUAAGUCCCGGCUCUCUAGAGGGAGAACCAUGUGCAACAGACCAUACAUAUUGAGGAAUACCUCAAAACAAUUUCACAAAGCUAAACGGAACGAGUAAGCGACGAGGAGUCGUCGUAUGAUCUCGUUUAAGAUAAUACAUUGGAAAAUGCAUUACGAGAUUAAGUGGGGGAGCGACCCAAAGCAACACGAGAUGAAGGUACACUUAAAGUCGAUAUGAAGAUCAGACUCAACAAAGGGCUGACCCGUGGAAUGGUAGGCGUGAGGGUCAUCAUCAACUUAAUGCAAAACAAGGAGCGGAGCAACUUGGGUGUAAAUUAACGAAAUACCUAAGUCGCAUGAAGGAAGCUGACAUAGAAGAUGUAACAUGGAGCGGAGGUACAAAGCUUUCAUUGGAUAGAAGUCUAGGACACGAACUCUUACAAAGGCAAGAGUGGGAUCAUGUCGUUCCAUAAGGCCUUCAUUCUGAUGUUGUAGACUUAUCUUGCAUGGUGUCAAAGACAAAUGGAGCUUUUGGGCACAUGCAUCUUAUUUUGGAGAAGCAUUUGAUGGAGGAACCAAGGCGAUUCAACUUACGGAGGUAAAGUUAGAUUCAAAAGGCCUUAGCACAGGGUAAGAGGAUACGGAGGCAGGUACUCUUGAAGAAUAUGUCAUAGUGUUGCCAAUCAAGUUGCCAUGAAGGAAGCAGUGCGUAGUGAAGAUUAUGCUGGUAAGGGCAAAUACUCAUGAUCAAGACAAUGAUGCACCAAUUUUAGUGAAGUCGGUGAACUUUAAGAGCUACUAGGCGAUGGAGUAUCCUAGAGCGAUGCUUCGUCUAGGUGUGACCUGAGAGCGAGUGGACGAAGGUCGAUUGCCAAAGGAGUGAAUACGAUCAAAGGUGAAACAGGUCAUACGAUGUGUUGGUAGAGACCACACAUGGAGGGAUCACAAUCCGAGUUCAUCCCACAAGGAUCAGAAUGCAAUAAAGAUGUCACCAUAAGGCAAUAUGAUUUAGCGAAUCAUGGUUGAACCAUUCGUGGCAAUGUAAUAUAUACGAAUCUAGUCCCGUAAGAGACUAUAUCAUACGGGGGUAUGAUUGAAAACUACUAGGAACUCCACUUCGGUGAAUAACAUGACAACAAGAAGGGCUAUGGAUUCAAGGAGUGAAAACCAUAGUAACACAGAGGCGGGUCAUCCGUCCAUGUAUUGAAUAGCGACGGAGAGUAAUUGGAAGUUAGGAGAUGCAUUAUAGCUGGAGCACAAGAUUGAAGACUCAUCAAAGGUGAGGAGUUACAACGUCGACAAAGGCUUCGAUGAGGAUGUCGAAGGAAUAAGUGGGGGUGAAUGUCAUAAACAAAACUAUAAAGGAUAUGUUUAAUGUAAUGCUCAUGUAUGUUCGUGUCUCUUAGUUUGUUCAUGCUUGGCACAACAUAUAGAGGGAUAGUCGAAGGCUUAACAGCUCCAUUUUAGUUGAAUUUGAUGGUUGUCCUAGGCUUACAUUAUAGCUGGAGCACAAGAUUGAAGACUCAUCAAAGGUGAGGAGUUACAACGUCGACAAAGGCUUCGAUGAGGAUGUCGAAGGAAUAAGUGGGGGUGAAUGUCAUAAACAAAACUAUAAAGGAUAUGUUUAAUGUAAUGCUCAUGUAUGUUCGUGUCUCUUAGUUUGUUCAUGCUUGGCACAACAUAUAGAGGGAUAGUCGAAGGCUUAACAGCUCCAUUUUAGUUGAAUUUGAUGGUUGUCCUAGGCUUACAAAUAAAGGUUGUGUAAUAUGAGCACUUUGUUGGUAAAUCAUGGGGGGCGACAUCAUAUGCACAGCGGAAGAACAAGAAAACAAAAAUCCCCGAUUCCCAAAAAGAUGUUCGUCGUCGUGCGAAGAUUGAUGCGCAAAAUCCGCAAAACACAAAAACUACGUAUAGAGAUUGUGUUACCUAGGGAGAUCGUAUAUCCCUGUUUCCUUGCAGAUCCUUAGGAGAGGGUGAAGGAGGUCAAGCGUCCUCCUCUCUAGCGGUGAUCCACACAGCAGGGUUGCGACGACGUUCCUCAAAACUCCAGGCCUACUUUGAGGUGGAGAGGGAGAGGAGAAUAGGAAGGGCAAGCAAAGACUCUAGCCUAUGGGGCUGUGAAUCCCUCCUAUUUAUAGAGAUCCCGUGUCAAACCCUAAUGGGUCCUUCCCUAGUGGGUAUUGGAUCUGCAUCCAAUAAGACAAGGGCUCCGUCGAAUAUCUCAUAUCCGAACCUCUACUCAUCGCAAUGCCAACCAUAUGUGUGUGACCCUCUAGGCCCAAUAUCGAGCUAGCCGUGAGUCAUACCUGUCAGAACUCCUUCUAACUCAGUGAAUUAUUAUCUCUGUAAUAAUUCACUCGACUCAUCGACUACGGACAUACUAGGCCACUACGCCGUAGUCCCCAGACGAUACAGGGGAAUCCAAUCCAUUGGACCUGUCUGUCCUCAGUUACCAUGUACCUAUAGUCCCUCAUCCAUCUAAUAUCCCAGAGACCGUAUAUCGAGCAUGGUGCUGUCAGAUCCAUACGGUUUCUACUCGAGUCUUGCUCUAAUCGGAUUCUCCCGGAGAACUCUUUCUCUCUCAACCCGAAUGACCCUGGCCAGGGAUUUGUCUGAGCAAGAACACAUGAGAUAUUCCUCUCAUGACGCCGAGAGUGGAUGAUCCUCUAUCGACACUCAAUAGCCCUCGUAAGGUCGACUACCACUCCCAAUGACCAGCUGUACUAGAUCUGGGACAGCCAAACCUAUAAGUCUGGUAUCAAAGAGUGGAGCACUCAUACAUGACAUCCUUAGUGUCUCAAGUCUAAGGACCAGAUACACCACUAGGACUAAGAAAUCGCUGUCUGACAAUAAGGCAUCAUCAACCAUUCAACAUUUUGUAAGCGGAUCAAUCAGUGAACUCAUUUUCCAAUGAGCUCCUGUACUGUAUCCCUAGUGUCCCUACACGAGCAGCUAUGAGACCAGCUGCAUCCAUCAUAUGGACGGGUAUACAGCACACUAGUCUAUCCGGUUAUCACGAUGUCCCUCUCGAGUAACCUAUGAUCGGGAUUAUUUAGGAUAUGUGUUUAAAGGUGAAUCGAUCUCAUUAUCGUGAUCUCAUCACGAUCCGAUUCCCAUUGCACAAAUCCAAGGACAUCACAAUAUAUAUAUAUAUAUAUAUAUAUAUAUAUAUAUAUAUAUAUAUAUAUAUAUAUAUAUAUAUAUAUAUAUAUAUAUAUAUAUAUAUAUA